rnacentral:rRNA from 1 species
UUUGAUCCUGGCUCAAAAUGAACGCUGGCGGCGUGGAUAACACAUGCAAGUCGAACGGAAACACUGAUUAGUUUACUAAGAUGUGUUUUAGUGGCGGACGGGUUAGUAACACGUGAGCAACCUGCCUCGAAGCGGGGGAUAGCCUUCCGAAAGGGAGAUUAAUACCGCAUAUGGUCUACGGAUCAAAGGAGCCUUCGGGUUUCACUUCGAGAUGGGCUCGCGGCCUAUCAGCUAGUUGGUGAGGUAAAGGCUCACCAAGGCAACGACGGGUACCUGGUCUGAGAGGAUGAUCAGCAACCCUGGAACUGAGACACGGUCCAGACACCUACGGGUGGCAGCAUUCGAGAAUCAUUCACAAUGGACGAAAGUCUGAUGGUGCAACGCCGCGUGGAGGAUGAAGGACCUAGGUUCGUUACUCCUGUCAUAUAUGAGUAAGGCAUAUUGGGAAUAAUACCCUGAUAUGUUUGAUACUAUAAUAAGAGGAAAGGACGGCUUCUUCGUGCUUGGCAGCUGCGGUAAUA